rnacentral:lncRNA from 1 species
UCCAAAAUCCCCAUCCACAGACCACAGCCACCCACUCUCACCUCUGGAGAGGCCCUCGUUCUCUCAACUCUCAUUCUCUCACCUCUCCACUCUCCAGAUCUAGGGGCUGGGGCUCUGGGCGGCGCGCGGAAGGUAGGCCUGUGGCGAGCGAGCGGCAGGCCAACGGCGAGUAGGUAGGUGGCGAGUGACCAACAUGCCGGCGACGGGAAGGUAGCAAGCUAGCGGGUGAGCGGCAAGCAGGUAGCAGGUCGGCGAUGGGUCGGCUGUCUCCUCGGCAGGCCGGCGGCGGGCAGGCGGCCGAGAGGUGGGGGGAGAGGGGAGAGGCGGAGAGCUCGCCUGUCAGGGGGAACGGCGAGGGGCCGAUAGCCUGUCAGAGCAGAGAGCUCGCCCGGCCGGCCGGAAGUUGAGCAGGCGACUAGCGGCGUCCGGGGAAGUGGAGCAGGCGACUGGCAGCGUCCCUGGGAAGCAGGCGGCCGACGACGUUCGUGGGGGAGCACUCUACCGACGGCGUCCGUGGGGUAAUCCCGGCGGCAACGGGCCAUCAACGCCAUGGAGCCGACGGCUGCAGCGGAGGAGCGGGCGGGCGGCGGCGGUAGAGGAGCGAGUAGCUGACAGGUACCCGAUGCCUGUAAAGUAUAGGUUUGGGGUUGUUUUUUAGGCCCCGUUUGGUAGGGAUUUAGAUUCUGUGUUUCUGAUUCUUUUGAUUCUAAUUCUCUGAGAAUCAGAUUAAGGACAGAAUCAGAAUUACUUUGAUAAGGCGUUUGGCUAAAAACAAAAAACUUGGUUUCUAGUAUGAGUUUAUAUCUUUUUGAUAUAAAUUGUCAAUACUACCCCUAAGGUAGCAAGAUGUUUGAAUUUUAUAUAUUUGUACAUGUGGCAUAAUGUAAACUUCAAUAAUUAUUGUAAGCUGACAUAUAUACGUAUUAAAUUUUUCUACACGUUAACAUGUGGGAAAAAACUUGUAUUCAGACAAUGUUAAACCAUAUGAAAAAUGCAUUGCAUUUGCACAGCAUAACAUAUUCAUUACAUCUGUCCACUCAUAAAUUGAGCUAUUAUAAAAAUAAAUCAUUAUUGUAUUCUUACAAAAAUAUGGCAACUACAAUGUUACGAGAACUUUCAUCUUGAUUGACAUAAUGUGCUUGCUAAGUUAUCACGAAAUAUAUCCAUGGAUCUAUCACUAGAGUGUGUCGUAGACGUAUCAGAUGCAUUUUGUGAGACAACAUAUUUUGCAUAUCUUGCAGGUAUGGUCGGGACAUAAUCUAGAUCACGAUCACACCUACGAAAAUACUUGUGGGAUGUACAAUUCUGACGUAUAAAGUUAUGGAGACACAUUGUCGAAGCAAUGAUCAUUUCUUGCUUGUCCAUGGGAUAUGUAGGCAUCUUUAAAAGGAUUCGCCAUUUCAUCUUCCACACACCAAAGGUUCGCUCAACGACAUUGCGUGCACUUGAGUGACACUGAUUGAAAUACUCUUGCUCUCCACUUGGAGGAGGUCCAUUUCUCCAUUCAGGAACAUGAUACCUUUGGCCCUUGUAUGGUGACAUAUAUCCUGGUCUAUUUGGGUAUCCAGCAUCUACAAGAUAAUAUUUACCUACAAUAUAAAAAUUGAAUAUUUAUAUGACUAAAAAAUAAGACAAAUUAAAAUUUUCAAAAGAUCUGCAAUUGCAUACCUUGUGGGGGAUGUGGAAAUAUAUCUUUAUCAACCUCUAAUGCAUGAUAAAGAACACUAGUGUCAUGCAUAGAACCAGGUUGUCCAAUAGAAGCAUAGGUAAAACGCAUGUCAAAGUCGACCGCUGCCAUCACAUUCUGAGUGGGACUCUUGUAUCUACCAAUAUAUCUAAUAUAUUCUUCAUGUGGUGGGUUUACUGCCACAUGAGUCCCAUCAAUGGCACCAAUGCAAUUUUUGAAAUGUGGCAACAUUCUCUUGUCAUUCUUUAUUCGACUAUGAGCUCUUCGAAAGUUAGGAUCUUUUGGACAUAUGUAAUCCUUGCACAUACUAACCACACUAAAAAGAACCUCCUCAAAUUUUCUACUUAUUGUUUCUCCAGAAUGUUUGAACCUAUUUUGAACCCUUCUAUUGGAUUCACCGCCUCCAAGUAUGAAUAGGAAAAUAGCAACCGACUCUAUAGAAUUCAUGUGGUUGGUAGAUUUGAGAUCAUAUGUACUCACCAAUAAGUCAUGUAGCCUGCAAAAUAGCUCACUAUUCAUACGGAACAUAUGAUGACUCUCUCCUGGUGUCCUCAAAGUUUCUAGUACCCAUGCAUACCCACUUAGCUGUGAUGUCCUUGGUUUAUUUUUAUCAUAAUAUGUCAUAAAAUAUUGUCCAAGCAAGCAAGCAACCGAGAAUGCAGUCGCUUGCAAAGCUUGAUGGUGUCGUAAAAUCUCCAUAGCAAACUCACCAUCUUCGUCAACAUCAGUAGAGUCACUUUUCUGAGAAGCAUCACUUCCAUCAGUUUCACUAGAAGACAUCUAAAACAAUAAAAACAACUAGUUCAAAAUCAAGUAUUAUUCUUAAAUUAUUGAAAGAUAGGAGAGUCAUCACUACUGUAGUAGAAGUGACAUAAUAAAAAUAUAAUUAGUUUCUAUCUUUCAAUAUAAAAAUAUGUCAAUGCAAACCAGAAUAGUUGGUAUUCAAACAAUUAUUACAAAACUUUUAAAAUAUAACUGAAAUAGUCCACCCAUACACACUAACAAACUAUGACACUAUUUUUCUAACUUGGCUUCAUGUUUCAUCUUGAGCCAUGCUAAUCUUUCUUCUACAUUAUCUAAGGUCAUGAACAUCUCUCUCCAAUUUCUUUGUGAAAAUCUCAGUAGCAAUGAAAUGCUCAUUGGUACCAAAAACAGCACCACAUUCUUUAACAAGAGCCAUGACAUCUUUAAUUGCACACCCUGAAGUGUCCUCCCUCCUAACAAAAGACUCAACAGUUGCCGCUGUUUUCUCCUGGUUGUCAACAAAACGGGUCAUUUGUUCAUAGAACCAAUUUCCACCACUAUUUUUGGGUUUCUUCACCUCCUUACUACAAGCUCUCUUAGCUCUCUUUGCAGGAGUGAAAUCUUCGUCACCACUAUCAUCGUCAUCAACUCCAUUCACUCUUCUAUGUCAUUAACAUUAAUAGUAGGAGGAGGCUGGGAUGAACUUUCUAGUAGGUCACCCCUAGCAGGAUUCUAAUGAUCAUUUCCUGUGUUUCGAAGGUCUUCAAAAAUUUCUUGGAGUAAAUGUUCAUUCUGAAGUCCUCUUAACUUAAACUUGAGACAUCCGGGUAGAUCCUAUGGAACACAAAGAUAAUAUUACGAUAAAUAUUUACGAUGCGUGCUUAAAAAUUUUAGAAAAAUAAGCAUCAUUAUACCUUCUUCGCUUUGGCCCACCAAUCAUCAGAUGCAAUAAUGGUUCUCCUGGCUUCAUCCCAACCUAAUCCAGUCUCUCUGCUUAUUAAUUUCUUCCAUAGAUUGUAGUCCUUCUUUAACUUGGCCCAUUUAUUCUUGAACUUAAGUUUGUUAUACUUCAAGCCAGUCUUCUCUCCAAAUUUAGCAAUUACAUUAUCAUGUCCGACCUUAUUUAAAUGAGUACUAGGACGCUUUCCAUCCCUAACUUCAAAUGCAAACAACUCACAAACUAUCCUAGUAUUCUCAUCUGUCCAUUCAGCAUUAUUUGCUCCAUUCAAUUCAUCUUCUGAUGGGUCCAUCUACAUAAAAAAUACUGUUCAAAGCAUGCUCUCAUCACUUUAGAAUAUUCGGCUUAUGUUGGAUGGCAUGGCAAAAACAGACGACAUACUAUACUUCAUUAUCACACGGUUGUAAGUGUCGUAGCUUGUGAUCAUAAAUUAUUGUCAAAGUACUGUAGCUUGUAACCGUCGUAAACAAGUACUACUACAACUAGCUAUGAUCAUAAAAAAGUAGUACUACUAGCUACCUAUGUUCAGGAGGCAGAUAACUACUAUAAUCAUAAAAUAAACAAUUGCUGCAGUUGUAUGCUUGACAAGAACGUCAAUAGCUAGCUAAUCUUUUUAUUCUUAAAGUAACAGCUAGCAAAUAGAAAAGUAGAAAAGUAGUAUACCCUUGAAGAGAAGUAAUUUCUUGCUGCUGUUCGGGCUCUCGCAGAGAAGAAGCGCCACGACCGGGGGCGGCUGCGACGGCGUUCGGGGGCGCCGGCAGGCAGCACUGCGGCGGCAAGCACUCAGGCGGCAG